AGUGAACGCUGGCGGUAGGCCUAACACAUGCAAGUCGAACGGCAGCACAGUAAGAGCUUGCUCUUACGGGUGGCGAGUGGCGGACGGGUGAGGAAUACAUCUGAAUCUACUUUUUCGUGGGGGAUAACGUAGGGAAACUUACGCUAAUACCGCAUACGACCUACGGGUGAAAGCAGGGGAUCUUCGGACCUUGCGCGAUUGAAUGAGCCGAUGUCGGAUUAGCUAGUUGGCGGGGUAAAGGCCCACCAAGGCGACGAUCCGUAGCUGGUCUGAGAGGAUGAUCAGCCACACUGGAACUGAGACACGGUCCAGACUCCUACGGGAGGCAGCAGUGGGGAAUAUUGGACAAUGGGCGCAAGCCUGAUCCAGCCGUACCGCGUGGGUGAAGAAGGCCUUCGGGUUGUAAAGCCCUUUUGUUGGGAAAGAAAAGCAGCAGGUUAAUACCCCGCUGUUCUGACGGUACCCAAAGAAUAAGCACCGGCUAACUUCGUG
rnacentral:rRNA from 1 species